UGCCUACGGGGCGCAGCAGUGAGGAAUAUUGGUCAAUGGGCGAGAGCCUGAACCAGCCAAGUCGCGUGAGGGAAGACGGUCCUAUGGAUUGUAAACCUCUUUUGCCGGGGAGCAAAAAGCGGUACGUGUACCGCAUCGAGAGUACCCGGAGAAAAAGCAUCGGCUAACUCCGUGCCAGCAGCCGCGGUAAUACGGAGGAUGCGAGCGUUAUCCGGAUUUAUUGGGUUUAAAGGGUGCGUAGGCGGACAGUCAAGUCAGCGGUAAAAAUGCGGUGCUCAACGCCGUACAGCCGUUGAAACUGGCAG
rnacentral:rRNA from 1 species